UGGGGAAUAUUGGACAAUGGGCGCAAGCCUGAUCCAGCCAUGCCGCGUGAGUGAUUAAGGCCUUAGGGUUGUACAGCUCUUUCACCGGAGAAGAUAAUGACGGUAUCCGGAGAAGAAGCCCCGGCUAACUUCGUGCCAGCAUCCGCGGUAAUACGAAGGGGACUAGCGUUGUUCGGAAUCACUGGGCGUAAAGCGCACGUAGGCGGAUAUGUCAGUCAGGGGUGAAAUCCCGGGGCUCAACCUCGGAACUGCCCUUGAUACAGCAUGUCUUGAGUCCGAUAGAGGUGAGUGGUAUUCCUAGUGUAGAGGUGAAAUCCAUAGAUAUAAGAAGGAACACCAAUGGCGUAGGCAUGUUACUGGACCAUUUCUGACACUAAGGCACGAACGCGUGGGGAGCGAACG
rnacentral:rRNA from 1 species